rnacentral:tRNA from 1 species
UGAAGCAUAGCCAAGUGGUAAGGCAUCAGUUUUUGAUACUGAGCAUCAAAGGUUCGAAUCCUUUUGCUUCAA